UUGACCAAUGUAGACAUUCAAAUUAAUUAAAUGAAAUCACUCUGUAUUAAUAUUACUAACCGCGUACUUCAUAAUGAAAUCUCAUAUAUACUAUCUUUUCAGUAUUACUAACGACUCGAAUCCAGCUAAAAUAAUAUUCGCCACAAUAAUUAUUGACUGCAUAGUUUUUAACAUCAAAAACCUUUGAUCAAUUGCUUUUCUUCUUAAAGCAAAUAUAGUUCUUCUCCUUACAUUAUAUAGUCCAAAUCGAAAUUUAGUGGAACAUGCAAGAAUUAAAUGCGGGUCAAGCACAUUCAACAGAUCCUUAAAAAUUCUUUUUACUAUAUUAAAAUUCAUAGAUUAUAAUGCACUAGAAUUUACUAUGGUAAAGAUUAAACAUAGUUAAAUUUACACAUUAAAAAAAUUAAAUUGCAAAAAAAAAUUAUUUUAAAUAAAGACUAAAUGAAAUUUUAGGGCAUUUAAAAGAAACUUUACCAAACUUAAAUACUCAUUCUCUCUCGUACACAUUAACUAAAUGAAUUCUCCUCUCUUUCUCUCUCAAAUCCCUAACUUUAUUCUUCUAUACUCUCAAUUUUUCAUGCUCAAAACACAAAUCAAACACCUAAACCUAUAUAUAGUUAAUUAAACAAAUUCUUGGUAUCUUAUAUUGAAAUAGUAAGAAAAGUAUCUUGGGUUCUUUGAAAGAAAAGUUAUCACAAGAAGUAAGCAAUACUCCAUUUUCUUCAAGAUUUUGGUUAUUUGCUAGUAGGAGGAGUAUGGAAAAAUCUGAUUAGGCAAUCAUUACAACCAAGUGAAGUAGUAGAUUUUAGGGGUAGUGGAGCUAUUGAUAAAGUCUUAAGGGAUGAGAUGGAAGCAGAGAUGGAGCCACCGACUGGCAAAGUUAAUGAAGAAAGGACCUUGAUGUUGUACGAGGAGCGAAAUCAUCCUAAUCCGUUUGAAAGAGAGGAUGGAAUUCGAGUAUCCAUAUAAGCGCCCGGAAAGAUGAAGGAGGAAUUCAAUUGUGCGAAGGAUACUCUCCAUUUGCCAAGAUAUUUGAGAUGAUGUAAGGAGUCAAUGAGCUAGACUUGAUAUGAUUGAGCGAGAGCUAGAGCAUCUUCGAGCUAAAAGAAAUGCCAAUCCACCACAACCCUAAUGAGGGAAAUUCAUUUCCUUUCUUGAACUUCUUGUUAUGUUAGUGUUAAUUCGACUUAUGCUGUCUGUUAUUCAUAGUUUGUCAUUUUAUUUAGUUUAAUAAUGUUAUGGUAUGAAAUUUAGUUCUCAAUAUUGUUCUAGUUUUCUAUUUAAUUAUGUUUGUUGAUUCACCAUAAAGUAUCAAGUUGUAAGAAAGCGUGAGCUUUAAUAACGAAAAGGGUACUUUGAGAAUUUGAUCACAAUUA